rnacentral:rRNA from 1 species
CCUACGGGCGGCAGCAGUGGGGAGUAUUGCACAAUGGGCGCAAGCCUGAUGCAGCCAUGCCGCGUGUAUGAAGAAGGCCUUCGGGUUGUAAAGUACUUUCAGCGGGGAGGAAGGCGAUAAGGUUAAUAACCUUGUCGAUUGUCGUUACCCGCAGAAGAAGCACCGGCUAACUCCGUGCCAGCAGCCGCGGUAAUACGGAGGGUGCAAGCGUUAAUCGGAAUUACUGGGCGUAAAGCGCACGCAGGCGGUCUGUCAAGUCGGAUGUGAAAUCCCCGGGCUCAACCUGGGAACUGCAUCCGAAACUGGCAGGCUGGAGUCUUGUAGAGGGGGGUAGAAUUCCAGGUGUAGCGGUGAAAUGCGUAGAGAUCUGGAGGAAUACCGGUGGCGAAGGCGGCCCCCUGGACAAAGACUGACGCUCAGGUGCGAAAGCGUGGGGAGCAAACAGGAUUAGAUACCCGAGUAGUC